rnacentral:rRNA from 1 species
GAUGAACGCUGGCGGCGUGCCUAAUACAUGCAAGUCGAGCGAACAGACGAGGAGCUUGCUCCUCUGACGUUAGCGGCGGACGGGUGAGUAACACGUGGAUAACCUACCUAUAAGACUGGGAUAACUUCGGGAAACCGGAGCUAAUACCAGAUAAUAUAUUGAACCGCAUGGUUCAAUAGUGAAAGACGGUUUUGCUGUCACUUAUAGAUGGAUCCGCGCCGCAUUAGCUAGUUGGUAAGGUAACGGCUUACCAAGGCAACGAUGCGUAGCCGACCUGAGAGGGUGAUCGGCCACACUGGAACUGAGACACGGUCCAGACUCCUACGGGAGGCAGCAGUAGGGAAUCUUCCGCAAUGGGCGAAAGCUUGACGGAGCAACGCCGCGUGAGUGAUGAAGGUCUUCGGAUCGUAAAACUCUGUUAUUAGGGAAGAACAAAUGUGUAAGUAACUAUGCACGUCUUGACGGUACCUAAUCAGAAAGCCACGGCUAACUACGUG